UACGUAGGGUGCGAGCGUGUCCGGAAUUACUGGGCGUAAAGAGCUCGUAGGUGGUUUGUCGCGUUGUUCGUGAAAACUCACAGCUCAACUGUGGGCGUGCGGGCGAUACGGGCAGACUUGAGUACUGCAGGGGAGACUGGAAUUCCUGGUGUAGCGGUGGAAUGCGCAGGAUAUCAGGAGGAACACCGGUGGCGAAAGCGGCUCUCUGGCCCGGAUCUGACGCUGAGGCGCGAAAGCGUGGGGAGCAAACAGG
rnacentral:rRNA from 1 species